rnacentral:rRNA from 1 species
UACGGAGGGUGCGAGCGUUGUUCGGAAUCACUGGGCGUAAAGGGCGUGUAGGCGGUCCGCUAAGUCUGAUGUGAAAGCCCGGGGCUCACCCCCGGAAGUGCAUUGGAAACUGGCGAACUCGAGUCCCGGAGAGGAGAGUGGAAUUCCUGGUGUAGCGGUGAAAUGCGUAGAUAUCAGGAGGAACACCGGUGGCGAAGGCGGCUCUCUGGACGGUGACUGACGCUGAGGAGCGAAAGCGUGGGGAGCAAACAGG